rnacentral:rRNA from 1 species
GAUGAACGCUGGCGGCGUGCUUAACACAUGCAAGUCGAACGGAAAGGCUCCUGCUUGCAGGGGUACUCGAGUGGCGAACGGGUGAGUAACACGUGGGUGAUCUGCCCUGCACUUCGGGAUAAGCCUGGGAAACUGGGUCUAAUACCGGAUAGGACGAUGGUUUGGAUGCCAUUGUGGAAAGUUUUUCGGUGUGGGAUGAGCUCGCGGCCUAUCAGCUUGUUGGUGGGGUAAUGGCCUACCAAGGCGUCGACGGGUAGCCGGCCUGAGAGGGUGUACGGCCACAUUGGGACUGAGAUACGGCCCAGACUCCUACGGGAGGCAGCGGUGGGGAAUAUUGCACAAUGGGCGCAAGCAUGAUGCAGCGACGCCGCGUGGGGGAUGACGGCCUUCGGGUUGUAAACUCCUUUCGUCAGGGACGAAGCGAAAGUGACGGUACCUGGAUAAGAAGCACCGGCUAACUACGUG